GAGCAAGAGCCUGCCUGCUGCAGGCACACCACACCCUCUCCCUCUGGCAAUGGUGUAGUGUGAAGGAAAGGAAAGGAGCUCCGCCCACAAAGACCAGGCGAAGUCUCAGUUCGGAGCUAACUAAUAAUGGGGCCUCGAGCAAGUCCUUUCACCUUGCCAAACACCCGAAGCCAAUUGUGCGAUGGAAGAAGGAGUGCAGUUUUCUACCAGAUUGAUAUGGUGGAUUGUGGACAGCCUCGGAGGCCGCGAUCUGAACAGUUCUUCCUGCCUGGGACGUGGUAACCCUCUGUUCUGAACUCGAAGCUCCAGUUCUUCCCUGAGCCUCCUGCUUGCCAGCAGCAUGACCUUGAAUAUAUUGCUUGCUUUCCUCACCUGUAAAAUGGGAUCAUUUUACCUUCCCUGUCUCCUUCAGAGGAAUAUUGUGAAGUUCAAAAAGGAAGUGCUUUAUAACUGGAAAGUGCCCUACACACAUGACCACUUUCUUCAGAAAGGCCAGGCUGGGGAGGUGGGGAUGGCUCACACCUGUAAUCC
rnacentral:lncRNA from 10 species